rnacentral:rRNA from 1 species
GAUGAACGCUGGCGGCGUGCCUAAUACAUGCAAGUCGAGCGAACGGACGAGGAGCUUGCUCCUUUGACGUUAGCGGCGGACGGGUGAGUAACACGUGGAUAACCUACCUAUAAGACUGGGAUAACUUCGGGAAACCGGAGCUAAUACCGGAUAAUAUAUUGAGCCGCAUGGUUCAAUAGUGAAAGACGGUUUUGCUGUCACUUAUAGAUGGAUCCGCGCCGCAUUAGCUAGUUGGUAAGGUAACGGCUUACCAAGGCAACGAUGCGUAGCCGACCUGAGAGGGUGAUCGGCCACACUGGAACUGAGACACGGUCCAGACUCCUACGGGAGGCAGCAGUAGGGAAUCUUCCGCAAUGGGCGAAAGCCUGACGGAGCAACGCCGCGUGAGUGAUGAAGGUCUUCGGAUCGUAAAACUCUGUUAUUAGGGAAGAACAAAUGUGUAAGUAACUAUGCACGUCUUGACGGUACCUAAUCAGAAAGCCACGGCUAACUACGUG